CCUCCUUGAAGGGGAAAAAUCUUCAACAGGAACCAGGCCACUGAGAGACAGAAGAAAGGACAGCUCAUACCCAAACCUCACGAGGAGGCUACAGGAAUCACUGGACAGUUCCUUUAUUGGGAAAGCCCCCAGUGACUUUCCAAUUAAAUGGAUAGAGAAGGGAAAAGAGACCCUUCGGAAUCAGAUGAGUCCAUGAACUGGCAGCAGUCAGGGCAGUGAUGACAUCACAGAAGGAGGAUGGGCCUUAGACAGACAUCACCCUUUAGAAUCCCUGCAACUUUGAGCAAGUUUGUGAAUCUCACUAAGGCUCAGUUUCCUCCAUAAAAUUGAUCAAUACCAGGGCCUCUGCAUUGGACAACUCCAGAGGGCACCAUUUGGGUUAUACCUUAUGUUUGCCUAACCUUCAUUGCAGUGGGCAGGUGCAUGCUUUCUACAACGUCCUAAGGUCUAAAGGGGUAGAGUUCUGUGUGUGGCAUUUUAGGCCUGGGAAGGAUGAGAGUCUACAAAACCAGAGAAAUACUGCAGAAUCCAAUGAACACAUGGACCCAACACUCCUUUGGCCAAGUUGAUGAUUCUCCACCAUUUAUUUGCCUGCCUCACUAUAUACUUCUAGCAAGCCACUGCAAGGCUGCAUUGCAGCUAAGAGGAAGCCCUCCUUGAAGGCUGCACAGCAAGGAGUGUUGGCAGAGUAGCUGGGUUUCCACUGGGAGAGCACGAGUCAGCACCAUGCUGGGCUCAAGCAUGGAUAUGCACUGCUGCUGCCAGAGCAUCAUAAUUUGCAAGCAUUUAUCGAGUACCCUUCAUCUAAUUUUCAUCCUGCGGAAACUAGAAAUUGCUACACUUGCACACAAUAAACUUCUAGCAGUUAGCCUUCUAAA